GCUGUGAUGGCCGAGUCGUUAAGGCGAGUGAUUUGAAUUCAGUUCAUCAUCACUUGGUGUUUCACCGCGUAGGUUCAAAUCCUGCUCGCAGCG
rnacentral:tRNA from 2 species